AUUUUGAAACUACUAUAUCCACAUUAUGCAGACAGGAUGGCUUAAUCUCUUCGGCUAUUCACAAGCCAAAUGCGAGUUCACGUUUAUUUUAUUGUUUUAGCAGACGUUUCCACUUUUUUGUGUGUUAUCUUGUAGUUUUACGAUUUAUAUUUUGAGAUAAAAGAAUAUAAGUAAACCGUAUGCUUACAAACAUGUGAAAACAAAAAUUCGUGAAAUUUUAGUCCACCUAGCUCUACUACCUAGUUUUAUGCGUGCACAUCUUGUAUCCGACUUUUUCCCUAUGCAUAAUUUUCGAAUAAUGUUUGAAUUUAAUUCUCUAAAAUCUUGCUUCAUUUUCAUAUUUUUUGCUGGUUAAUUAGUUUUUUUGUUCGAAUAACUUAACAUUUAAAUUUAAAGUCUCUCAAAUUUCCUUUCAUUUCUUUCUGUAUAUUGUUUGUUGAUUAAUUAGUUUUUUUUGUUUCUGUUGGUUACGUAUCAGUGACGUCGUAUUAAAUCAUAUGGUUUAGAAAAGAGAAAAAGAAGGUAAAACUGCUGAUGCAACGUAGAAUCGACUGGCCAACUUUAGAGUACACGAAAUUAAAUGUGAUUGUUUCCAGUGUAAUGAAAAAUAUUGAUAUUUUGGUACACGAAAAUGAUGUGAUUGCUUUUUUUUAAAUAAUGUGAUUGUUUUUUUUUUUUUGGUAAAAUAAUGUGGUUGUUACCAUCCAUAUAAUACUACAACAUGUAUCGGAAAAUGGAGUAGUAAGAAUUUAUUUCAUAGAAACAUUAUGUUUAUAUACACAUUAGAAUUAAUACAAUGAUUUGUAUAAAGGCAAAAAUCAAAUGCAUGACGAUGCUGUUAAGUAAGACGUACGUUAGAGGUGAGUGUCAUUUUCGCAUCGCGAUGUAAUAAAUUAGGUUAGAUGGUUUGUUCAGCACUAGAUUGAUUUAUUAUUUUCGGUUAGGUGCGUCGUAAUUGUAACGUGAUCAUCUACUAAGUUAUUAACCGCAUCCAUUACUUGUGGCUUACUAUAAUCCAAAACGUUUUUAUUCGAACAUUAAAAUACGAUAGAACUUUAAAUAUGUAAUCACGGUCUUGUGUGCAAGUGUUGGAAAUAGCAUGCAUGUGUCAUUUAUUGAUUAUGAUUUGUUACAAAUUAUGACAGAUGUUUUGUCUGUAAAACUCUCUGUUUCUUGUCAUUUAAUAGCUUUAGAAAAUUAAUUUAGUUAGAGAAACUGGAAAAAAAAAUUAUUCUUGUUGGAAACAAUUUGAACUUCAAUGACAUUAAAAUGAAACAAAAGGAAGAAAAACCUGUGAAGAGGAGAAAUUAACUUUUUUUAACUUUGUAUGUGUUACAAAAAAAACUUUCUUUGACUUUUGGAUAUAUGCGAAAAGUCCAGCCCAUUUGGCUAUUUGUGGGCCAUGAGGGGUAUAUGAAAAUACUAUUUCCUUUUGGGAAAAAUCUGUGAUCUCCAUAAGAUAAGUGCUACAUGAAAUAUACGUAAAGAACAAAGAAAAAUGAAAUAUACAUAAACUAUAUGAAUUUUUUUUUGAACUGUCCAAUUAACUAGACCAAGUGUUGGGGAGCAUUUUCGUCUGUCCGUUUGAUCUAUGUGAAAAAGAUACAUCUUCUAGUCUUUACUUCUUUCACUAAUGAGUCCGUUUGGCCAUUUCUGUCCCGAGAAUUAUGAACCAGACUCAUUUUCAAAUUCUUCAUGUAGUGUUUGGAACACAUUAAUUUCCGAGGUGAAGGCUGGCUAAUCAUAUCCACUAGAUCCGAGCAGUUCGUCUCGAAAUGGAUCGAUUGUAUUCUCUUGUCUCUCAUACAUAAAGCUUCUUAGAACAAGCCUUCCAUUUCAUCAUGUAAGGUUAAGAGGCUCCUUUCUCACACUCUAUAGAGACUGAUUAUAAAGUAUUUUACCUUUACUUUGUCUUAUUCUUUCACUUUAGAACCCACUCUUUACUCUUUUUUUAGACAUUCUCUCUAGGUGUAUAGGUUCUUUUUCUUUUUAAUAUGUACACAUACUUGUUUUUCAGAAGUGUGCUAUUUUAUUAUGUAUGAUGCAGGAAUAUAGAGAGAAAGUUGGGUUAAGGAACAUCACAUUUUCAAUUCAGAAAGAAGAGAGAAGCUGGUGGCCACAAAUCUGAAAUCAGAAGAGAAACCUGCACCUUACAUUAAGGUGGACUGGAAUAAAUGGUGCGAUGAGGAUGAAGAGCUGAAAUAGCCUCUGAUGAUGAGAGUCUAUUUGUUGAUCAAGAUUGUGAAAGCAGCGAUGACGAUGGAUUGCUCUGUAAGUCUAAACAACCUUAAUCUUCUUACCUGCAAGUAGAAAACUAAGUGAAGAUUGAUGCAUCAUUGUGCUGCAGGCCAAAGUUUUAAUGGCAUCAUUAUACUUUGAGCCUUUUUGUUAUUAUAGAUCUUACAUAAAAAGUUGUGUUUGAUCGUGUAAGUCAUCCAAAAGAGCAUGGAAUAUUCUUAACUCACAUAUUUUUAUCAUCUUAUAGAGACUUCUUUGCAUACAUUAUACCCGUUUAGCUAAUCCUCAUUAAGGCGAAUAUUCUUACACUUGUUCAAAUGUUAAGGUUAACAACAGGUUUGAAUUUUCAAUAUUUGGUGGGCUAAAUAAACCAAUAUAAACAAACAGAACAUGGCAGUUUUUUUUCAUUGUCUACAGAUAUAGAUUCUGCUACGUAUACGGUAUAUUACAUGGCAACUUACAUGUAACAUGUUUGGUAAGUCAAUACAGACUUCAGUUUAUCAUCUUACAGUCACAAAGACAGAGAAAAAUACAGUACUAUUAAACAAGUAAUAUCUGAAGAAGCAAGACAAGGGAAGUGGACGUGGGAUAUCAUUUUUUUUUCUUUUCGAAACACACUUAUAUUAAACAGACAGGAUCAACAAGAUGCUUGCGGUUCUUGAGCAGAAGAUCUUGUGGGUUAACCCUGACUGUGGUCUGAAGACAAGGAAGUACACUGAGGUCAAGCCAGC